rnacentral:rRNA from 1 species
GACGAACGCUGGCGGCGUGCUUAACACAUGCAAGUCGAACGAAGAGCGAUGGAAGCUUGCUUCUAUCAAUCUUAGUGGCGAACGGGUGAGUAACGCGUAAUCAACCUGCCCUUCAGAGGGGGACAACAGUUGGAAACGACUGCUAAUACCGCAUACGAUCUAAUCUCGGCAUCGAGGAUAGAUGAAAGGUGGCCUCUACAUGUAAGCUAUCACUGAAGGAGGGGAUUGCGUCUGAUUAGCUAGUUGGAGGGGUAACGGCCCACCAAGGCGAUGAUCAGUAGCCGGUCUGAGAGGAUGAACGGCUACAUUGGGACUGAGACACGGCCCAGACUCCUACGGGAGGCAGCAGUGGGGAAUCUUCCGCAAUGGACGAAAGUCUGACGGAGCAACGCCGCGUGAGUGAUGACGGCCUUCGGGUUGUAAAGCUCUGUUAAUCGGGACGAAAGGCCUUCUUGCGAAUAGUGAGAAGGAUUGACGGUACCGGAAUAGAAAGCCACGGCUAACUACGUG